rnacentral:sRNA from 1 species
AUGAAAACACAUACUCGAAGCGGACCUGAUCAUGUCAAACCACUCGACCCCCUGGUCGAGUAGACGCUUCACGACCUCAAUAGACCACUCGACCCCCUGGUCGAGUAGAAGACUUCACUACUUCACUUCACCACUCGACCGCCUGGCCGAGUACCACCAUGAGAGUCACUCGAUCACUUCACUCGACCACCUGGUCGAGUAUCAUCACCUCCACCACUUGACCAUCCCUCGAUCACGCCACUCUACCACAAAGUCGAGUAUCACCAUCACCAUCACUCGACUACAUACUCGAUUGCCAGCUUCAGAGUCUUCUCCAUUCCGCACUCAACCAGACACUCGAGCACAAGGAAGAAAAGAAGACUCCAGCUUAUCACUCGACCGCUCACUCGACCACCUGGGUCGAGUACCGUUCUUAAUCCGUCCCACUACUGCGUCGUUUUGAGUGUUAGGGUUUUGGAAUAUUUCGCUAUAAGUAGCAUGUAUUUUACAUUUUCGUUUAUCUAAGUUUUAUUCCGCAGACACUUUGUUCUUCACAUUUUGUAAUCCGGAUUUCUUUUAAUCUAUUCAGUAUUCAACAUUUUGCUUUUGAUUUCGUUUAC